rnacentral:lncRNA from 1 species
CGGGAUUCUGUCACCUCGCUCUGCAUACACCAGCAUUUAAUGCAAGAUCAUAGAGUGAAACGAUUCCUGUGCCCAAAAGGGAUUUUAAAAACAGCUCGAGAAGCUGAAAGCAAGAUACAACAGACAGUUCCACUCAAUUUGCUGCCUUCAGCCCGGCUGCGUACUGGAAACAUUUGGUCCUGCUGAAGCAUGCUUGUCUGCCUCCGGGGUCAGGGCUG